rnacentral:lncRNA from 1 species
CUCCGCGCUCCUCUCGGCUGUGGUUGGACGGGGACAGAGGCAUGGACACGGCUUGGCACUGUUCUGUUGAUGUUCUGUUUGUGCUGCCAUAGAAACCUGAGCUCCCGCUGCCGAGUGACACGUGUAACUGGGCUCCCUGUGGCUGGGAUAAGUGCUCCUGGCCUGGUGCAACAGAGAGAAGGUUCCCAGGGUUCAGCUGCGAUGAGAAGCAUCGUGACAUAGGGACAAUUGACCCAGGAACAUGAGGUUGCAACUUCGUGAUUUUACAUUAAGCUCUUAAGGCACCGUUCCAGCCGUUUUCCUGGCGCUUGCUUUGUGGCAAAACUACAGCUGCUGUGACUGCAUGGGAACCAAUCCAGCUGAAAAAUACCCUGCCCGAGGAAAAAAUCCUUUCAUUUUGCUCACCGUGAUGGGCUGAGGAAGAGAGAGACGCGUGGGAUGGUGGGAUUGCCUCUGUCAGUACCAGUCUCUGCUUAGGGAGGUGGCGAAGCUGCUGCUUUGUGGUGGUAGAACUGGUGAUCCCGUGCACCCUGCACACACAGUUCCUUCGGAGGGGUAUGUGGGGCAGAACAAGAAGGAUUCCUAAAGUCAUGGGUCAGGCUGAUUUCUAAGAGCUGUAAAAGAGAGAGCACAUGCUUUUAUGGCUCCAAACCACUUCUGCUCAUGUGGAAAGGAUUAAAGAUUAAAAACAACCCUGCU